rnacentral:rRNA from 1 species
GACGAACGCUGGCGGCGUGCUUAACACAUGCAAGUCGAACGCUGAAGCACCAGCUUGCUGGUGUGGAUGAGUGGCGAACGGGUGAGUAAUACGUGAGUAACCUGCCCUUGACUCUGGGAUAAGCCCGGGAAACUGGGUCUAAUACUGGAUGCUACAUGUCACCGCAUGGUGGUGUGUGGAAAGGGUUUACUGGUCUUGGAUGGGCUCACGGCCUAUCAGCUUGUUGGUAAGGUAAUGGCUCACCAAGGCGACGACGGGUAGCCGGCCUGAGAGGGUGACCGGCCACACUGGGACUGAGACACGGCCCAGACUCCUACGGGAGGCAGCAGUGGGGAAUAUUGCACAAUGGGCGAAAGCCUGAUGCAGCGACGCCGCGUGAGGGAUGACGGCCUUCGGGUUGUAAACCUCUUUCAGCAGGGAAGAAGCCACAAGUGACAGUACCUGCAGAAGAAGCGCCGGCUAACUACGU